AGCUCGAGCUACCCUGUUCCAGCUCAUUAGCCGUGAUUAAUCGGCAUGUGAGCUUUCCCAUGGUCCCCUUUGACUGGCUGGAGACAGAGCUCACCUUGGAGGGCACAGAGAGACGAGGCUGCUACACCACCACCGUUAACACUCUGCCACAUGUGACUCAGCAGAGGCAUGGUAUGGACAGCAGCUCAACACCACACCUGUAAUCUCUCAGUCAUCAUCUUCACUAUCUCUACCCUGGCCAUCCCUCCAUUUGUUGACAGAAGAGUUCCUGAUUUGUGUGCUGCUGAUAUUGCUACACUCCACUGUCGCCAUGACAUGCCACACCACACCACCCAGCUGCCUUUGGUCUCCAGUCGUCCCUUGUGUUUCCAGUGUGUGUUCAAUCAUCUGGCUCUGGUCUUCAGUGUCCUCUGUAGUCCGGCUUGAUGUCCUCGCCAUACACCUGGAUUUCCCAGACCCACUCCCACUCU